rnacentral:rRNA from 1 species
UGGUCAAGUUAUUAAGGGUGCAGGGCGGAUGCCUUGGCACUAGGAGCCGAUGAAGGACGUGAUAAGCUGCGAUAAGCUUCGGGGAGUUGCACGUAAACUUUGAUCCGAAGAUUUCCGAAUGAGGAAACUCACUUAGAGUAAUGUCUAAGUAUCAUUAAGUGAAUACAUAGCUUAAUGAGGGGAACUCAGGGAACUGAAACAUCUAAGUACCUGAAGGAAGAGAAAGAAAUUCGAUUCCGUAAGUAGCGGCGAGCGAACGCGGAUUAGCCCAAACCAAUAAAGUUUUCUUUAUUGGGGUUGAGGACAUACCACAUAUAAGAGGUCAUUAUAGACGAAGAAGUUUGGAAAAACUCAUCAUAGAAGGUAAUAAUCCUGUAGUCAAAAUAAUAAUUCUUUAGGUAUGAUCCAGAGUACCACGGGACACGUGAAACCCUGUGGGAAGCAGGAGGGACCACCCUCCAAGGCUAAAUACUACCUAGUGACCGAUAGCGUAUAGUACCGUGAGGGAAAGGUGAAAAGAACCCCGGGAGGGGAGUGAAAUAGAACCUGAAACCCUGCACUUACAAGCUGUGGAAGCACAUUUCUUGUGUGACCGCGUACUUUUUGUAGAACGGGCCAACG